UACGAAGGGGGCUAGCGUUGCUCGGAAUUACUGGGCGUAAAGGGCGCGUAGGCGGACAGUUUAGUCAGAGGUGAAAGCCCAGGGCUCAACCUUGGAAUUGCCUUUGAUACUGGCUGUCUUGAGUUCGGGAGAGGUGAGUGGAAUGCCGAGUGUAGAGGUGAAAUUCGUAGAUAUUCGGAGGAACACCAGUGGCGAAGGCGGCUCACUGGCUCGGUACUGACGCUGAGGUGCGAAAGCGUGGGGAGCAAACAGG
rnacentral:rRNA from 1 species